rnacentral:rRNA from 1 species
UGGGGAAUAUUGCACAAUGGGCGAAAGCCUGAUGCAGCGACGCCGCGUGAGGGAUGACGGCCUUCGGGUUGUAAACCUCUUUCAGCAGGGACGAAGCGAAAGUGACGGUACCUGCAGAAGAAGCGCCGGCCAACUACGUGCCAGCAGCCGCGGUAAGACGUAGGGCGCGAGCGUUGUCCGGAUUUAUUGGGCGUAAAGAGCUCGUAGGCGGCUUGUUGCGUCGACUGUGAAAACCUGCGGCUCAACCGUGUGGUCUGCAGUCGAUACGGGCAGGCUGGAGUUCGGUAGGGGAGACUGGAAUUCCUGGUGUAGCGGUGAAAUGCGCAGAUAUCAGGAGGAACACCGGUGGCGAAGGCGGGUCUCUGGGCCGAUACUGACGCUGAGGAGCGAAAGCGUGGGGAGCGAACA